rnacentral:sRNA from 1 species
UCCACCAUCAUAGCUUCUGGUAAGUAUUACCCCCUCUCCCAAUAUAUAUUAUAUUUGCCCUCAACCCUACCGACCGCCCUGUCCUCUUCGCUGUAAUCUUGUGACGUUAUUCUGCACGAAACCUGUUAACUACAGAGAGGUCAGCCUCUCUGUAGGCGCUUUUCCAGCAACGCCAAAGCAAAUCUCUUAAUUGAGAAACACCAGACCCCCCGUAUGCUAACGCAUAGUGUCAGGCUUGUUAAUUUUCAUCAUCGAACCUAGGUUCUCAGAUCGUAACAAGGUUUUUUUUUAUCAUCAUUCACUGGGGGAAACUAUUGAGUACGAAACUGUUUGAUCGUACCUGAGAGUAUGAUGAAAGAGCAUAAACCAACAGAUAAUUUCGAUUGGCCUUCCUAUCCUUCCUAUUUCAAAACUUCACGUUCUUUCGCGAAUGUUUUGAGUGUGUCAGUGAUUAGGACAGUCCUUGGUUCAAUUUUCUGACUCUCCACCUCACCAAUCCGUUAUUCAGCUUGAUUUUGUAUAACUUCUAUCCUUCCUAUUUCAAAACUUCACGUUCUUUCGCGAAUGUUUUGAGUGUGUCAGUGAUUAGGACAGUCCUUGGUUCAAUUUUCUGACUCUCCACCUCACCAAUCCGUUAUUCAGCUUGAUUUUGUAUAACUUUCUACAUGUAAGAAGGAUAUCAGCAUCCGCCAAAUGGUCUGAGAGGGAGCGAGGAGUUGGGUGAAAUUACCUCAUUACAAUGUUUCCCACCUUGGACAUUAGCAAAUCCACGCAUUAUCUGAUGAGGGCAGUCUAACAUGGAUGCCCUCGGGUGUCCUCCUGAGGGCAGGAAGAUAGCCCUGCCAACCUCAGAUACGAUAGCUAUUGAUUGGAAACAUGUUUAAGGGAUGGUUUGUACAUGUGUGUACAUGUGCAUCAACUCGGCCAGCUAACUUGGCCCGUCCUAACCCUACUCAAGGAGAUGGGGACGGAGGAUGCUGAAAUACCAAUAGAUGAGUGAAGAUGAAAGAGGAGAAAAUCCGGGACGGGGGAGCUCAGCUUUAUACCCUUUGUUUUCUUGUGCUUUUGGAAGGUGCUGAGCAUCACAAAUGGAUGUUUUUAUUUAUAUGAUACAGAAGCUCGGCAAGAGCGACCAUGGAUACAAAACCUGCUCAAUAUCUGGAGGGCAGGUAUGUAUGUACGGAGGUACGUAAAUGUUGUCUACGCCGAGGGUGCUCCUUUCUAUUUGGGACUUUUACCAAUCAUGAACAGCCUCCUGGGCAUGAAUCCGAAGAUCCGAAGGAGCUCCAACAACAUUUUAUUCCUUGUCUAAGGGCAAGAAACAUCGGAGCGUGAAUUCCCAUAAUGUACUGAACAUACCUAUUGGGUGGUUGGGGAGAGAGUUAUCCACCUGUGGACCUAGAGCACCUACAGAUGUUCUUUAAUUUUCUUAAUGUUAUGGUGACGACUGCUUUCUGCCACUGUUAUGUGACACUCUCUGGUGUCAUACGCACAAACAUUCAAAUAAGCCCGUUCUUCUCCUUCCUUCCCUUUUCGUUGGUUGUGGGUCAGAUGGCUCCUGGUCGAAUAAUGAUAUUUGAGCAAUCGUUUUGACAAUACGCCUACUUGACUAGGUACGGUACUUGGAUCAAUGGCUCUCUGGUACAAACAGGACAUGUGGCUCUUUGUACUGUACAUCACAUCACCUCUUGUCUCUUCAACUGAAAAUACUGACAGACCUGUACUCGCAUCUUCUUCUCCUUCCUGUGACUCCUUCCUCUUAUCCGUCAACAGUUGGUCAGACCAAAUUCAAAAGUAUCUUUUGAAAUAAGACCCCCGGCUCUCGACCUGUCUUCGACAGGCAGGAAAGCCGCCCUCGAGCAGCGACUCCAGACAGCUAAGGAGCAGUCAGCAACGCCCGAUUCGCCACUGACAACACCUGACGGCCACUGUGACGCACUUGCGGCAGCGAGAAUCGAAGUCGGAGACCCGACCAUAAUGAUUGAACAUGCUGAAGAGGCCUUAUUGCACUCAAUCAACAAAGAUCAGUCACAGUUUACCAUGGUCAAAGGAAACCCCGUAUUCGCGAAUACGCGUCUCAUCCCCCCAACAAUCCGCCAUCCUCUCCCUGUAGCACUUAACGGAGUGCUGCACCACCAUCGCUCAUUUAGGGAGGGGCAACGGCACAUGCCCUUGCCACAAGGAGUCCCCCUCCCCAUUCCUCCCCUUACCAACGAGGCGACCAAUCCUCCACGGUCGGGGGCACCUCCUCUCCCCCCUCCACCGAUGCCAAAGCACGCCAACCGCCCGAGUAUACGCCUCAGGCGUCUUCGGUACCUCUUCCACCGCUUUCCUACCAACCCCCCAACAACCCCCCGCCGAUUCUCCCACCGAUCCCCCGGAGCUCCAACCCCCAAGAAUCCCCAUAUCCUCCUCCUCGACCCCUUCCACCUCCUUCUCAACCUCCUUCUCUUCAUCGUGCACCCAUGCACCAGGAGCAGGCACAACCACGGCCUCCAUUGCCUGCAUACCCCCAGGCACAGCAGCAGCCCGGCGGCGGGACCAGAGGGAAUUAGCUCCCACCCGCCACCCCGCAGAAAAUAAACGCGCGCCCAUGCAUGGCGCACCUCAAUAGAGGUGGAUCACACACCUAGCAUAAUUGUCAGCAUAUCUGUAUUGCUUAAGACGCGACUUACCUAUAUAAAAUGCUGCCUUGUGCCAUCUGGGAAAAUAACAGGUUAAAAGGGGAAUACUCACAGGGUUGCAGGUUUCCCCUGCAGAGGCACAUGUCCCACAACACUUUCAGGUCUUAGGCCCAAAAACACACCACAAAUCGACAUCUCUCAAUUUGGGGACGCAGCCCAAGCAUAUGCUCUCGAUGGUGGACAGCAUAUCAACCUCCAUAGGCUCCGAGCCAGCAACAGAGACAGCUGGUUCGGAUAUUCUAUCAUUAUUAUCUUGAUCAGCACGAGAACCUUAUACAAAAGGGGAGAAGGAACAAAAAUACAGCAGGGAACGAACAAAUGUUGAUGGUUGAACCCCAUGAACCCCAUAUUCCAAAAUCCUUGGAGGGAAUUCAACAACACAAAAUCGACCUAGAACAAAAAAAGCAACCACGCAACCACGCAACCACACAACCACACAACCAAAACUUUGAACUUCGCAGUAAAAUUCACAUAGGAGGAUAAGACUCACUUUUUCUCGAUAAACUGGUAUAUUCUUUUUAAAUAAAAAAUCGUUUAGUGGUGCUGGUGGUAAUUUGGAGGUAAUAGGUUUUUUGUGUGGAAAGUUAAAGAUAGGGGUUCAGGGGAUGUUACUAUUGGACGGCAGCAACACCAGAACUGGAAAACCUAUCAUCCAAACCCACAACACUUCGGAUAUAUUUCCCGAUAUUAUUCCGAUUUCAAUGCUGCGAGUUCUAUAUAACACCAACUACGCAACUACCAAUACAAACUUCACACAUUAUGGAUAAGGGGACCAGGCCUUUGAAGAAGGGAGAUAAUUGUAAUAGGGAAUUACAGAGAUAUCUAUAUUUAGAAGUGGCAAAGAAGCGUUCAAAGAUGAUGGAACCCCAUGGAAGUAGAUGGUGGGAACAUUAUCUAUAAAAUGCUCGCUGAUAUCCGCAGUUUCUGGGAGAUCAGCGAUUAGCUUUGAAUCAGAUAUUGUUAUCUUAGCAUGUUCCUACAUUAGGACAGUAUGCUGAAGGCAGCCCUGACGAAUCCUGGUCGAUUAACCCCUAUCAAAACAGAAAUGCAUUUCAUAUGCAGGCAGGUGUGCUAUGUGCAAUCUAGGCUACAUUUAGAGAAGUUACUGGAGCAAAGCAAAUGGGCACAGUGAUGGCCGGUCUAGAAUCUGCUCCUGUUUGAACUUGCUUACCAGCUAUCGACGGGGGCAAGUCGGCAAAAAGUUGCCAAAAGAGCAUAGCAAAAGUAGCCGGACUUGAAGCGAUCGGCUUCUAUCAACGUGGAUUUGUUACUCAUUACCAUCAAGCAGCUAGCCGAGCAAUUUGGCACAAAGCCCUUAGGGCAUUUUAUCCAGGUUUGUUUAAAUAUAACUAUAACUAUAUAUAUAACAUCACAUAACCAACACAGUUGUAACAAUAUCUACUAUCAGUACACAUACAGAUAAGGCCAUAGUGACAGUGUCGAAGUUCGUUCUCUCUCUAUACUUUCUUUUCUCAUCAAAACACUUCAAGAUAAUUCUUCUGAUACAUAGACAGAGCAUUGAAGAGUAUAGAGAAUUAUUUUCAGAACUCAGAUAUGAAAAUAAGUGUAACAGCAGGCCUUCUGGCACUGCUGAAAACUAAAGGUGCCAGGGGACCCUCUUGUCAUCCUUUGAGCAUCACUUAACUGCUCGGCUAGUGGUGAUCAUGACGGAAUAGGUGGAUUGGAGGCUCUGAGCCGAAGACACAAUGUAAAUAAAUUUUAAUUCAAUAAUAUAGCCGCCCACGACGCAAACGAACUGCAGCAGAUAUUUCGACGACCCUUCUUCCGCUCUGCAACAGUCGUCUAUCAUCUGGCAUAUCGACUAGUAAGUAGCAAGGAAGCUCAGCAUCGGGUUAGAGACCGGUGCCAUAUUGUAUCGUUCGCUGAUUGGAUGAUUGGGCCCGCCAUACGAUGCUAGUUCAAGCUAGAAUCUCGAAAAUACUACCACUAACUAUUCAUAGCAAUCGCUUCAAAUCCUAUAUUGAACGCAGCGUCAUUCGGAAGUAGCGGGAUGGAAAACAAGUUGCUCAGGGGUACACGGGAUUCAUUGAACAGGGAGGGGC